rnacentral:rRNA from 1 species
UACGGGGGGGGCAAGCGUUGUUCGGAAUUACUGGGCGUAAAGGGUUCGUAGGUGGCCAACUAAGUCAGACGUGAAAUCCCUCAGCUCAACUGGGGAACUGCGUCUGAUACUGGUUGGCUUGAGUGCAGGAGAGGAACGCGGAAUUCCAGGUGUAGCGGUGAAAUGCGCAGAUAUCAGGAGGAACACCGGUGGCGAAGGCGGGUCUCUGGGCCGAUACUGACGCUGAGGAGCGAAAGCGUGGGGAGCGAACAGG